GUGGGGUCCAAGCUGAGGAUCAGCUUCCCGGACAAACUGCAUCACGUCCUCCACUGUCCAUGAGGAGGGGUCCCGGCCACUCAGUCGAGAGGCAUCCCGGCUUUCCAGGUAGAGGUUUGCACCAUGAGUUUGGAGUCUGGAGGUCUUGUGAGGAGGUGGCAGGAGCUGUGGGAACACACACCCCAGGAGGGCAGGCGGCAGGUCGGGAGAGACACCUCUGAAAUGGUGACACUUGAGCAAAGACCCUGAGGCAGAAGAGUGACUGGCACGUGUAAGUAGGUCCAUUUUGAGCAGAGGAGUGACUUGAACCACUUUCCGGCAGAAAGAAUCACUCUCAGAGUCUGUGUUGAUAACAGACUUAGACUCUGGACGAGGGCAGAAGGGAGACCAGUCCGCUGCUAUCAUGGUCCAAGCAAGAGACGGCUGUGGCACACACCAGGUGGCAGUUCUAUACCAAGACUCUCCCCCACCAUCCCAUGAGGGCAGCUGGUGGUUACUCCUCAAGGAAGGCGAGGGUCUCAGUCCGAGAAUGACUAACGCAGGACUAUGAGCUCCCUGUGGACAAGAAGUGAUUGAUUUUUGCCUCUGCAUGCCAAACGUAGGUGGUGUUCAAAUAAAUGGCUAAUAAAGAAUGGGUGUGUCCUUCCCUGUCCCAUUGGCUCUAGGCCUUUGGCUCUCAGUUUCCACUAUUC